GCCUGGGUGGCUCAGUCGUUAAGCACCUGACUUUGGCUCAGGUCACAAUCUCAUGGAUCGUGGGUUCGAACCCUGCGUCAGGCU
rnacentral:tRNA from 1 species